CGCCACCCCACCUUCAUUACAAAGUAGGCCUAUAACUGGUUAGUUCGCUCUUGCACUUCUUUAAAAAGCUACAAAUGGAGGAUGAAGAAAAAAAAACACCUCCAUCGCAUUCGAGCCCAAUCCCUGGGAUACCUGAUAAACCGAUGAGGAGGCUAGCAAGUCAGACCAUGAGGGAGCUAGCAAAGCUAGCAAUAGCACUUCAGGCCCAACCAUUAAGGACUCGGGAGCUAGCAGGUCAGCAGCCAAGAGGAGGUUUGCGUUUCUACUGCCUUGAUUUCAACAACAGCCCAGGAUAACCAUCGCUCUGCACACCUGCGGAUUUGUCUGCAGUAGACGAACCGCCAACACAACCAAAAUUAGGGACAUCCUCCUGACCCAGAGCGACAUCCUCCUGACCCAGAGCGACAUCCUCCUGACCCAGAGCGGCAUCAUCCUGACCCGGAGCGACAUCAUCCUGAUCCGGAGCGACAUCAUCAAUUCCUUCCUAAAUGAUUGUAACACAACACCCCAAUUAAACAGACAGGAAGAUGGAGUGUUCCCAAACAAACAGACCAGUCAGUCAAGCCAUGGAGGGCAAAGCAUCCCCAAGGACUCUAGACAAACUAUGGUGCAGAGAAUUUGGCGUCUUUUGGCUGCCAUUUGAGACGCGUAGUAGCUGAUGAACGUUCAAUGAACAAUUUACAUUGUUGGUGUUUCCAGAAGGACGUCGUGGCUGGUGAUGAACCAAGUUUGCUGCAGACCAUGUCUCUAAACACAAGCAGUUGUUAAUCGGGUUGUGUGUUACUGAGGGAGGACCAGAUGUUCAAUGCCGGUCAACACGUUCCAGAACCCUGGUCAAUUCUCAAAGGAUUUCAGAUUUAAUGAAACCAAUUGAAAAAAUUUUUUUAUGAAAGGGUAUUUCUCUGAGGGAAGGUGAAGGUAUUCUAGCCUGUAUGUGAGUGUUUGGCCCUGGUUCUUUGAAGUCAUUCCUGGUUACGUUUUUAGAUGGACAGAUCAGAGCCAUGGCUGGAACAUUUGAGAAGGAAACAGGGCUAUUGGAGACCACAUCAAGCUUUGCUGGGUGACGUGAUGCCUUGAAACACGUGCCUGAAUGGACUUUGAUCCUGAUUCUCUUUUGUCGUGUUGUUGUGCCGCUCAAGCGCUGCGGCUCUUUUCUGGCUUCUUUCUCAGAUACGGCAGAAACAGUUGUACAAAAGUCCUGAUCAAUCUACUUGACAUAUGGCGAGUAUAGAAAUCAUCCCGUCUUAACGAACCUGGUCUAAAGUAGAGCACUAUUUGGACAAAUAGGCUUCCAUUUGGAAUUAACACGGGAGGUUGCUGAGCCUCUGUGGUGGUUCCCCAGACACGUGAAGUGGUUCCAUUUCUUCCCCUGAGGACCUGUGGGUAUUAAAGGAUGAGCCAUGGUCAAUUUGUACAUUAAAUUAUGGGUUGGAGACCCAUACAAGAGAAAACCCAUCAAGCAACAUCGUUUGUGGAGACCAUGUUGGAGGAUCCACCCAGUCUGAAGGAGACCUGGAUGAGGAAUCACCAUCAUCCAUCCUUCCCUCCCUGAAGGGUUAUCCUGUCGCCUGAUUCCCAGACAACUAAAUCAUCCUCUGCUGACCAAGAUAAACUUCCUCCACUGCCCUUGACAAACACACGUUACUCCAACACCGAAACUGCUGCGACUUUGAGCAUGUUUGUGUGGCAGGAGCGUUUGAUUGCAUGGAACUUCACUCUGUAAAAUGUAUUAAUUGAAAGUGAGACUGAACUGUUUCAAUUGUUUUCCAAGUGUGGCAAUAAAGAAAUGUCACCAGCAAAUACGAGCUGAGUGAUUUAACAUCUAAUAUGACAGACCUUAUCCACUGCAUUGUGCUCCAGAUUAAAUGAUGUCAGAGGACUUGCUUAAAGCCAAAUAUCAACCUGCGACACUUGUUAGAGUCCCUGCCAGUUCCCUAUAGGCUACAACCAUUCAUUCUCAAGAACCUGGCUUAGAUUUAACUGUGUGUGUGUGUGUGUGUGGUGAUCUGGUAACAACCUCCUAGCCAACCAGUAGCCAGAACAAACCUGCCAAUAAUGCCAAUAUUCAGUUUGUGUGUGUGUGUGUGUGUGUAUGUGUGUCUCUAACCUGACUAUGUAAUGGGGACCAAAACGGUCCUUUAACUGUGG
ensembl:lncRNA